UGGCGGACGGGUGAGUAAUGUCUGGGAAACUGCCCGAUGGAGGGGGAUAACUACUGGAAACGGUAGCUAAUACCGCAUAACGUCGCAAGACCAAAGAGGGGGACCUUCGGGCCUCUUGCCAUCGGAUGUGCCCAGAUGGGGUUAGCUAGUAGGUGGGGUAACGGCUCACCUAGGCGACGAUCCCUAGCUGGUCUGAGAGGAUGACCAGCCACACUGGAACUGAGACACGGUCCAG
rnacentral:rRNA from 1 species